rnacentral:rRNA from 1 species
GUUUACAGCCAUGCUACCCUGAACAAGCCCAAUCCCAUCUGAUCUUGGAAGCUAAGCAGGGUCGGGCCUGGUUAGUACUUGAAUGGGAGACCACCUAGGAAGACCAGGUGCUAUAGGCG